rnacentral:rRNA from 1 species
AGAGCGAACGCUGGCGGCAGGCUUAACACAUGCAAGUCGAGCGGGCGUAGCAAUACGUCAGCGGCAGACGGGUGAGUAACGCGUGGGAACGUACCUUUUGGUUCGGAACAACUGAGGGAAACUUCAGCUAAUACCGGAUAAGCCCUUACGGGGAAAGAUUUAUCGCCGAAAGAUCGGCCCGCGUCUGAUUAGCUAGUUGGUAGGGUAACGGCCUACCAAGGCGACGAUCAGUAGCUGGUCUGAGAGGAUGAUCAGCCACAUUGGGACUGAGACACGGCCCAAACUCCUACGGGAGGCAGCAGUGGGGAAUAUUGGACAAUGGGCGCAAGCCUGAUCCAGCCAUGCCGCGUGAGUGAUGAAGGCCUUCGGGUUGUAAAGCUCUUUUGGCGGGGACGAUGAUGACGGUACCCGCAGAAUAAGCCCCGGCUAACUUCGCGCCAGCAGCCGC